AGUUAUCAGCUGUUGAAACAAGCUGCAUUGGAAAAGAUAUGCAAAAACAGCAACAACAAGCAGUUAGUUAGUGCAAAUUGUUUAUUGUUAUUGUUACUAUUUUUCGUUUUUGCUGUAAUUUGAGAUCUACCAACUUUCUUACACUUUUAUUGCUGGUUGUUGUUGCAGUUUUUGUUGCGCUAAUACGUUUGUACAUACAUAGAUGUUCAACAGUAGCAGCAAUGGCAAUGGCAACAGCAACAGCCACUGCCACCAAAACAACAUCAAAUCACAACAAAUCCAUUCAGUGUGUUGUGGAAAUCGUCGGACGUCGGUUGUUGAGUGUUUUUUUUUUUUGACGUUCUGACAUACAAAUGUGUGUACAUACUUAUGCAGAUACAUACAUAUAUUGUGUGCGCUUUAACAUUUCAGCGAUUUUUUCGUCUGCAAAUUUUGACCAGUUUUUGCUUUAAUAUUUAUUUAUUUAUUGUAUUUUAUAAUGGUGCGCAUAUAAAAAGUGAGUGGAGAAUAUGGUGAAGUGUUGCCAAAUCGGCUGCGCAGACGAGCAGAUAAUAUCCCUGUGAGAUUUUCGUAAACUGGCGCUGAAAAUGUGAUUGUGUGAAUACUGAUGAAUGCGCCGAUUAGUUUGUGAUUACUAAAAAUAAUAAUAUGCAUACAUAUGUGAAUGUGUGUUGAUGUGAGUAAAAAAUUAAAAUUUACAUUUGAUAUUGACAAAUUAAGUGUGUCCACAUUAUCUGCGACAACAAGCACUUAUUUCGUAGUCAAUACGAUAGUGUGCCACUUCUAGCCACCACAAUUUAGUGAGGCCAACCUGUGUAGUGCUGAAAAAUUAUAAAUCGAUAUGUUUGACCGUGUGCCGAUUUUUGAUUAACUUACACGUGUGUGUGUUUAUUUGCUUUUCUCAACAAGUUCAAACUUCUUAGAGAGCACACCGUGUGGACAUGUGACAUUAUGGAGUACCACUCCAGCGGGGAACCCACGCGUAACGAAGCGCACAGAAACACAGUGAAAGCGUUCAAUUGGAUGAAUAAUGCUUAGUUGUUGCUAUUUACUUUGUGCCAUGCUACAAAUACAUACAUAUGAAUAUGAACCUAUGUAUGUAGGAAUGACUCCCUAGUGCACCCAUACCCCAAAGACAUACACGCACAUACUCACACACACAAAGGGCGCGCCAAGUCAGUCACGUGCAUUUCUUUUAUUUACAAGAUCAUCUCGUGUGAAAGCAGUCAUGCGGUAUGUGCAACAACAAUAAAUCCAAGCAUAUCACUCAUCCUAAUAUAUGCACGCAGCUACAGCUUCUACCAACACACACACGAAUACACUUGCCUGUGUCUUACAAGACUUAUCAGCCAACCAAACAGGCAUUAUCGCACAAUCAAAUGCAAUUCAAGCCGUCCAAUAACCCAAUAAACCAACAACUUAAGUACUGAACAACUCAGCGAUACUGCGAGACUUCAAUACGCUUCAAAGCGACGUAAGACAUACAAACAAACAUCACGCAGCCGCGUGAAAUGCCGAAUCGCCGAGCCAAACAAACGAUCAAUUGACGAUCACCUAGCCACAAGCAUACCUACACACGUGCAUACAUAUAUACGCCAGUGUAUGACUCCGUUUCGUGAAGUGCCGACUCGUCGCCUUGUUAUUGUUGUUGCUGCGCUAUGUUGACAAUAUUCGUAUAAAUCUACUACUAAUAUUCGCCGAGUAGUAGUAUCAAAGUCAAAUGCGUUUAACGCGUAGUCGAAACUGAUGAUCCGUCAGCGAACGCGUACGCGAGUGAAAUAUUCCUACAGCUACGGCUAAAGCGCUUAAAAUUUGUUGUUGCUGGUUCGUUGCUGCUGCAAAAGAAUUCUUUCUUCGCUACUUCCUCUACGAGAUUUGAUUUAUUUGUGUUUGUGUGUGUUUUUUUGUAAAUUUUUUGUUGUUGUUGCAUUUUAUUUGUUGUCGGCGGAUAACUUGGCAAUCAACAGAAUCACCGCAGUGCAAGUCAGAGCUAAGUUCGCCACUCUGCGAGAUUGAAGUGCUCGUCGCCGGAGUUAGGGCGAAGAUUAACUGUCGUGCGCGUUGAGGCUGGAGGAAAUUUGUGUGGAAAAUUGUUUGUGAAUGAGUUGGUGUUUAAAUGGCGAGGAAUGCAUACGAAAUUUGUGACAGUUAUUAAAGCAAUAAAAAUUAUAUUUCGUUUAAAUAAAGGCAUUAAAUGAAUUAAAGUGAACAUUUAAGUAAACAGCACUUGAUUUAAGACCAAAGUUUAAGAAAACUAUUUAAUUAAAUGGAAAAAAAAAUAAAUAUUUAAUUGAGUUGAAAAUACAUUACUUAAUUAUCUAAAAUUUGAAAAUAUCGAAAUUUGUUAAAAAAAAAAAUAAUUUAAUUAACUAAAAAAUUUAAAAUAUCAAAUUUUGUAAAAAAAAUUAAUUAAAUUAAAAUAAAAUUAAAUAAAU